UAUUCCUUGAUGAUGAACACUUAUAUGCCAGGGGAAAGGCGGUUCCUGGAGGCGACGCUCCAGGAAAGAUAUGUCGGUUCCGCAUCGUGGGAGGGAUCCACGUGCGAUUACAAGUAGAGAUUACUUAACUAAUUACAUAAUUAAUUAAAUUCUAACAGGCCUCAUACGCUCCAUGGAGCUGCUCGAGUAACCCUUGGGCGUCCUUCGUGUCUGCGCCGGCAUCGUGCUUACAGUGGAGAGACCGCACCGGGGCCGACAGGAGGCGUCGAUUUGGAUUGCCAGGACGAACGAUGUGCCAAGCUCUAGCGCAAGGAAGGAGGAAGGACAGCUGCGGUGAAGGAGGCGCCAGCGGCGUUGGGAGACGAGCCUGGCGAGGCGACGGAAGUGGGGGUUGACUUGCCCUAUUAGGGCGACGACAUGCAGGGCCUGCUGUUUUGUUGACGAGGUCGGCCGCGACGGGUCCACGGGGGACACUGGUGGAGGUAGGAUCCCUCCAAUGAGUGGCCAAAUCCAAUCAAGGUCUAGAUGAAACUCGCCGUCGGUGGUGGGACAUUCUGUUGUGGCAAGCGUCGUAUUGGUUUAUGCGGUGACGUUGAUUUUUAUCUUACAUCAUUUUGAGUUUUGUUGUACACUUGUACUAACUUUACUAAUCGUCUUCUUGUUUUUUCUUUUAUCCCCGUGGUGGAUGAACUGCAUGUGAAUGCGGUCGCUGGUGGGAUUGAGAACUUGUGACGCCUCUGAAUUUGGUGAUUGAUAGGCCAAACUCAUUUUUUGAGUUGCGACCUGAUAUUUUACGCCGCCGUUGGUACAUGGUGGUGUGCUGGUGUGGUUCCUAUUGUAUAGGUGGUCUGCUGGUGUGCUUCCUGUUGUACAGGAAGCGUCCAUGGGAUCAGUUGUUCAUCAUGUGUUCUCACUUUUGUGCUUUAGUUGUCAGUGGAUUUUCACGUGGAGAAGCAAGCAUGUGUAUCUAUGCUAGAAAUGAUGAGGGCAAGGAAUGGUCCUCCAUACGAACAAGAAUUUCAGGAAGUGGUUUGGGUCAUGAUGUGCUGAAAACAUUGACACCUCACAGAAUUUUAGCAAGUGGCUUGGGUCGUGUUGUGCCGAAAACAUUGUAUUAUAUUUUUGUCUCAAUGCCUCGAGAUUGUAACGAACUUGUGCAAGCUGAUGUGAGAAACUAAUUAAUCGUACAGGUAAUACAGCAGCCUGACCCGCAAUAAAGCAAUAACAGAAUGAUGACUACCUGUCAAGAUGGGAUCGUGGGGUGGUAGCUGAAGAAUUACUUCUACAAGACAUGGACGACGAGCGAUAAAGCUGGACACAACGAGUUCUCUGUGUGUAGUUUGGGGCAAUGUUCUCCUCUUUCGCAUCAUGGGUAUUGGGUUUUCUGUUGCCAGCAAAAGUGUAGUGUACUUCAUAGGAUUUCACAUAGCAGCCUUCAGCUCAGGGCCUAAUUGAAAUGUAUAUUUAUGUUAUGUUUACACAAAUUUUUUAGGACAAAAUUAAGAAAUUCACAGAGUUGUUUUA